rnacentral:rRNA from 1 species
AUGAACGCUGGCGGCGUGCCUAAUACAUGCCAGUCGCGCGAACAGACGAGGAGCUUGCUCCUCUGACGUUAGCGGCGGACGGGUGAGUAACACGUGGAUAACCUACCUAUAGACUGGGAUAACUUCGGGAAACCGGAGCUAAUACCGGAUAAUAUAUUGAACCGCAUGGUUCAAUAGUGAAAGACGGUUUUGCUGUCACUUAUAGAUGGAUCCGCGCGGCAUUAGCUAGUUGGUAAGGUAACGGCUUACCAAGGCAACGAUGCGUAGCCGACCUGAGAGGGUGAUCGGCCACACUGGAACUGAGACACGGUCCAGACUCCUACGGGAGGCAGCAGUAGGGAAUCUUCCGCAAUGGGCGAAAGCUUGACGGAGCAACGCCGCGUGAGUGAUGAAGGUCUUCGGAUCGUAAAACUCUGUUAUUAGGGAAGAACAAAUGUGUAAGUAACUAUGCACGUCUUGACGGUACCUAAUCAGAAAGCCACGGCUAACUACGUG